CAUUUUUUUGCGGUCUGAAGAGAUAUCGCGAGAUUACACGAGACUAUAAAAUAGCAAACACUGGAGCGGAUCUUAGUUACCAUGGAAACGGGGAAACGUCAAGCAUCAAGACUCCGUCUCGCUGUUGUUUUCACUGAUUUUAGGGGUGACAGAAAACCCCCUCUACAACAAAGAGGAAGCUGACAGAGGAGGAGGAAACACAGAUCCUUCCAUGCUGAUGGCCUCCUGCACCCCAGAGCUGAGCGACCUCCUGUCAAAGGCCACGAACCAGAUGACUAUAUUAUGUUUGCUAGUGAGACAGACGCCAUACUGUUCCACUCAAAGAUCCGCCAUUAGUUGUUUACCAGUAUGGAGACCAGCUAAGACCAACUGGGAGGUUUUGUUCAUGCUUUUUAUUGUGCAUUGUCAUGAUUUCUGCUUUGAUUUGUUAUGAAUCUAGGUCUCUUUUUUUAUGUUGCAUCAUGAUAAAUAAAAUGGAUGUAAUUUAUUGUGACAGUGAAUAAAAAAUAUAUUGAUAUA